AACCUCUCCUCCAUCCAGAGUUCGCUCACUCCGGCGGUUGCUGGACUCGUCGUCUUCGCGAAGACCUCCCAUGAGGCUUGGACCAUCCUGGAGCGCUCCUUUGCGUCCCAGUCGCAAGCCCGGGUCAGUGCUCUUCGUCGCGAGCUUGGUGCCUGUGAGAAGCUUGAUUCCACGGCAACAGAGUUCUACAACAAGGUCAAGGCUCUUGCUGACACAUUGGCAUCCAUUGGACAACCGCUUAAUGAUUUUGAGUUCAACUCCUUCAUUGUCAACGGCCUCGACGAAGAGUAUGAUGGCUUAGUUGAGAUCGUCAAUGAGCGCGGCAACACGACCCCCAUGAUGGCGCACGAGCUCUACUCUCGGCUUCUUCUUACUGAGCAGCGCGUUGAGGCGCGCCGU
rnacentral:rRNA from 1 species